rnacentral:rRNA from 1 species
AGAGUUUGAUCCUGCCUUAAAACGAACGCUGGCGGCGUGCCUAAUGCAUGCAAGUCCUUCGCGGUUUCCUACGGGGAACUGAGUGGCGCACGGCUGAGGAACACGUGGGUAUCUGCCUGUGUGUGGGGGACAACGCACCGAAAGGGGCGCUAAUCCCGCAUACGCUCUACGGAGGAAAGCCUUCGGGCGCACACAGAUGAGCUUGCGGCCCAUCAGGUCGUUGGUGUGGUAACGGCGCACCAAGCCGAUGACGGGUACCUGGUCUGAGAGGACGACCAGGCAGACUGGGACUGAGACACGGCCCAGACUCCUACGGGAGGCAGCAGCAAGGAAUUUUCCGCAAUGGGCGCAAGCCUGACGGAGCAACGCCGCGUGCCGGAUGAAGGCCUUCGGGUUGUAAACGGCUUUUGGGUGGGACGAUAGUGACGGUACCACCCGAAUAAGCCCCGGCUAACUCCGUGCCAGCAGCCGCGGUAAUACGGAGGGGGCAAGCGUUGUCCGGAGUUACUGGGCGUAAAGCGUGCGUAGGCG